UUAUUUCUAUUUAUUUUGGUUGAGAAUUUGAUUCAAUAAAUAUUCCGCUUUUUAGAAAUUCUGUAAGAGUUAAAUCUUUCUGGAUCAUCAGAAUAUGCAGAUUCAUUUCUUUUCUUUGAAUAGCGAAAAUAGCAAUUUCGUUUGGAGUGUUCAGUCUAAGGAGGAGGCAAUAGGCUUUUAUUAAAAAUAAAGAUACGUGUUUCGUUAAUUAAAAACUGGUUUAAAAUGUUUGGAAAAAUCUAGGUAUUAAAAAAAAGAUGAGUUUUGAUUCAGUAAAACUCAAGACUUUUGUUAAAAAUAAAGAUAUUCUUUGAAAGAAUACACCUCCUUGUGGGAGACUUAAAGGUGGCUUGCGUGCCACAUCUUUUCAAUAUAUCAUAUUUAUUUAUUUUAGUAGUUUUAUAUUUCUGAUGUUCUGAACAGCUAUAAACUGUAUAAUCUUGUUUGCCAGCAAGUCAGAAACUGGCUUGCCCACCACUCCAUGCAAGCUGGAACUCCUCAAGGAUGCGCUGGGUGCUUCAGGGAUCUUCAUGCAAUAGCAACAAAUAGAGAGAAUAUAUUGUGUUCUCUUUAGGGAUGAGAAGACUUCUGAAGAUGAAACCUAUUGAAAUAGUUUAGCAAUGGGUUAAAUUAUGUUGAGGAAAUCUGCACUUUUUGGUAGGGAAUAUGCACUUUUUGGUUUCGAGUUGAUGGUGCUUUGAGGUUUACGAGGGAACAAGUUGAACAACUUGACAAGAACAAGCAAUGGUCCAGGGCACUUGAUGGUUCUGAUUACCUCCCAAGAAUGGUACCUAUCUUUGGCUGUUUUGAACUCAGGUGACAAGUUGGUAUUUGGAGCAAACCAUGCUUAUGUAUCCUUUUAUUUAGGUUUUGGGUGUUUACUUCAAUUAGUUCUAUGGUGUUGAAUCUGGGUUAGAGCAUGAGGAGAGCAGUUUAAUAAAUGGGUUUAAAUUUUUGUUUCUUUGCAUGUCAUGGUUUUCUGCAGCAUUGGGUUUAUUUUUACACAUAUUUCCUUCUAAGACCCUCAUUUCUUGGUUUCUUUUAAUUUUAAUUUUUGGGGUGUCUACGAGUGGGACGUGAAGAAAACCCUCAGUUGAUCUCCAUUGCAGUAGAUAUCCGUCACUGGUUGCAUAUAGGGGCUAACCUAGAGAAAUUACGUUAAGGAAUAAAGUCUCCUUUGAUUUCUGGCGGAGCUUGACUGGUACAUCUUCAAUGUGUUCAAUUGAAAUUAAAAUAUGGGCCUACUCUGCAGCAGAAACCGUCAUUUCAGAGGAGUAGAGGCUGAAGAGAAUGCGCACACCUUCCAUUGAAAAGAAAAGAAGAAAACCAUGAAGAAAUCUGGAAGUUUGGACUCUCGUUGGACUGGAAAAGAAGUGAAAGAGCAGCAAAGGAAAUUGAGUGUUAACUAGACAAAAGACAUGUUGCUUUUGUAGCCUUCUAAAGCAAAAAAAGGAUUACUUAUAGAAGAAAGGAAAUUGAGUUUAUAAUUUUAAUUGUUGAGAAGUUUAUGUGGUUUGUUCACUGCUGUCAAAACAUUGUAUUUUUUUCCCCUUUUAGGAUUAAUUAACUUGGUAUGUGUGUACUGUUGAAAAAAUAGAAUACGUUGCUGAAAACUGUGUUUUUCAAUGUAUUUGUUUGUCUACA